UAGCGGCGAAUGGGUGAGUAACACGUGCUUUUACCCUUUAGAUUGGAAUACCCAAUGGAAACAUUGGCUAAUGCCGGAUACGCAUGGAAUCGCAUGAUUCCGUUGUGAAAGGAGCCUUUAAAGCUCCGCUAGAGGAUGAGGGUGCGGAACAUUAGUUAGUUGGUAGGGUAAUGGCCUACCAAGACUAUGAUGUUUAGCCGGGUCGAGAGACUGAACGGCCACAUUGGGACUGAGAUACGGCCCAAACUCCUACGGGAGGCAGCAGUAGGGAAUAUUCCACAAUGAGCGAAAGCUUGAUGGAGCGACACAGCGUGCACGAUGAAGGUCUUCGGAUUGUAAAGUGCUGUUAUAGGGAAAGAACACCUGGUUGAGGAAAUGCUUCCAGGCUGACGGUACCCUGUCAGAAAGCGAUGGCUAACUAUGUGCCAGCAGCCGCGGUAAUACAUAGGUCGCAAGCGUUAUCCGGAAUUAUUGGGCGUAAAGCGUUCGUAGGCUGUUUAUUAAGUCUGGAGUCAAAUCCCAGGGCUCAACCCUGGCUCGCUUUGGAACUGGUAAACUAGAGUUAGAUAGAGGUAAGCGGAAUUCCAUGUGAAGCGGUGAAAUGCGUAGAUAUAUGGAAGAACACCAAAGGCGAAGGCAGCUUACUGGGUCUAUACUGACGCUGAGGGACGAAAGCGUGGGGAGCAAACAGGAUUAGAUACCCUGGUAGUCCACGCCGUAAACGAUGAUCAUUAGUCGGUGAGAGUUCACUGACGCAGCUAACGCAUUAAAUGAUCCGCCUGAGUAGUAUGCUCGCAAGAGUGAAACUUAAAGGAAUUGACGGGGACCCGCACAAGCGGUGGAGCAUGUGGUUUAAUUUGAAGAUACGCGGAGAACCUUACCCACUCUUGACAUCCUUCGCAAUGCUAUAGAGAUAUAGCGGAGGUUAACGGAGUGACAGAUGGUGCAUGGUUGUCGUCAGCUCGUGAAAUUGGUCAAGUCCUGCAACGAGCGCAACCCCUAUCUUUAGUUACUAACGAGUCAUGUCGAGGACUCUAGAGAUACUGCCUGGGUAACUGGGAGGAAGGUGGGGAUGACGUCAAAUCAUCAUGCCUCUUACGAGUGGGGCAACACACGUGCUACAAUGGCCGGUACAAAGAGAAGCAAUAUGGCGACAUGGAGCAAAUCUCAAAAAGCCGAUCUCAGUUCGGAUUGGAGUCUGCAAUUCGACUCCAUGAAGUCGGAAUCGCUAGUAAUCGCAGAUCAGCUACGCUGCGGUGAAUACGUUCUCGGGUCUUGUACACACCGCCGUCACACCAUGGGAGCUGGUAAUACCCAAAGUCGGGUUAGCUAACCUCGGAGGCGACCGCCUAAGGUAGGACUGGUGACUGGGGUGAAGUCGUAACAAGGUAUCCCUACG
rnacentral:rRNA from 1 species